rnacentral:rRNA from 1 species
UACGGAGGGGCUAGCGUUGUUCGGAAUUACUGGGCGUAAAGCGCACGUAGGCGGCUUUGCAAGUCAGAGGUGAAAGCCCGGGGCUCAACCCCGGAAUUGCCUUUGAGACUGCGAUCGCUAGAAUUGUGGAGAGGUAAGUGGAAUUCCGAGUGUAGAGGUGAAAUUCGUAGAUAUUGGAAGAACACCAGUGGCGAAGGCGACUUACUGGACACAUAUUGACGCUGAGGUGCGAAAGCGUGGGGAGCAAACAGGG